GAUGAACGCUAGCGACAGGCUUAACACAUGCAAGUCGAGGGGCAGCAAGAAUUGUAGCAAUACAAUUUGUUGGCGACCGGCGCACGGGUGAGUAACGCGUAUGCAACCUACCUAUCAGAGGGGGAUAGCCCGGUGAAAGCCGGAUUAAUACCGCAUAAAACAGGGGUCCCGCAUGGGAAUAUUUGCUAAAGAUUAAUUGCUGAUAGAUGGGCAUGCGUUCCAUUAGUUAGUUGGUGUAGGUAACGGCUCACCAAGACAUCGAUGGAUAGGGGUUCUGAGAGGAAGGUCCCCCACACUGGUACUGAGACACGGACCAGACUCCUACGGGAGGCAGCAGUGAGGAAUAUUGGUCAAUGGGCGAGAGCCCGAACCAGCCAAGUCGCGUGAAGGAAGAAGUAUUUCGGUAUGUAAACUUCUAUCAGCAGGGAAGAAAAUGACGGUACCUGACUAAGAAGCCCCGGCUAAUUACGUGCCAGCCGCCGCGGUAAAAC
rnacentral:rRNA from 1 species